GAUGAACACUGGCGGCGUGCCUAAUACAUGCAAGUCGAGCGAACAGAUAAGGAGCUUGCUCCUUUGACGUUAGCGGCGGACGGGUGAGUAACACGUGGGUAACUUACCUAUAAGACUGGAAUAACUCCGGGAAACCGGGGCUAAUGCCGGAUAACAUGUUGAACCGCAUGGUUCUACAGUGAAAGGCGGCUUUGCUGUCACUUAUAGAUGGACCCGCGCCGUAUUAGCUAGUUGGUGAGGUGACGGCUCACCAAGGCAACGAUACGUAGCCGACCUGAGAGGGGGAUCGCCCCACAUGGACAUGGAACCCGGUCCAGACCCCAAAGGGGGGCAGCAGGGGGAAAUCUUCCGAAAGGGGCGAAAGCCUGAGGGAGCAACCCCGGGGGAGUGAGGAAGGUCUUCGGGUCGUAAAACCUUGUUUUUAGGGAAGAAAAAAUGCGUAAGUAACUGUGCGCGUUUUGGCGGUCCCAAAACAGAAAGCCACGGAUAACUACGG
rnacentral:rRNA from 1 species